rnacentral:lncRNA from 1 species
CAGAAACACAAGAGUCCGCCCUUUCUUGGCCCUGCCCCUACAAGGGGUCUUUUUUUUUUUUAACAAUACAUUUAUUGGUACAUUUUAGAUAUAUAUAAUGGCUUGGGGUUUUGGGUGGGGGGUUGUGUUUUUUUUUUUUUGGUACUGGGGAUCAAACUCGGGACCUUGCGCUUUCGACGCAGGCGGUGGAACCACUGAGCUAAGUCCUCGGCUCUUCUCUCUUUUUCUUUCCCACUCCUCCCUCCCUUGUUCCUCUCCUCGUUUGAACAUUUUUCCAUGACUGUUGUACAUUUUAGCCCUCAUUUCCAUUUUCGGUUUCUCACACCAGAGAAACAAUGCGCUUCCUGGUCCUUGAUGCAGACCAGAAAAAAGGAAGAGGAGGAAGAGAAGGAGGAGGAAGAGGAAGAAGAGAAGGAAGAAGAGGAAGAAGAGAUGGAAGAAGGGGAAAGGAGAUCUGGAGCUGUCUCUUUAAAUCUUUCUAGAAGUCCAACAGGAAUAGAACAUUUAUCUGUGUGAAGGCUACACAGGCUUAACUAAAAAUGUCAAGUUUCUUUGCUGGAAUUUUAACAGGGAACAUGAUAAGUGUACAUUUAUUCAGUAAUGAUCAAUUCCGGGUUCUCUUUUGUAUGAGAUGAAAUGGUGACAUGCUGCUCAGAAGCUCUGCUUGGUUUUGUUUCAUACAAAAUCACCUCUUGAAGUUAUAAUUGCUGGAUGAAUGUUAUCUGAUUGUCCUAAACUCUUGCUCUUCUCUCUGUGUUGUGUGCCCUGGGGAGAGGCUACAAAGAUGGGAUAAUAAAAAAGUAAAAUGUUUGCUUU